rnacentral:rRNA from 1 species
GUCUGUACCCAAAGACGUUUUAGCYAACCUGCAAAGGAGGCGAGUGCCUAAGGUAUGGGGGAUGAUUGGGGUGAAGUCGUAACAAGGUAGCUGUAGGUGAACCUGCAGAAGGAUCA